rnacentral:lncRNA from 1 species
AGAUAUAUUCUAUAAAUAUGUGUAUAUAGAUUUCUAAUCAGAUUAAUCUCUCUCAGCUGGAUACGAAGCGCUCUGUAAUUCUGUCUAAUGAAGAAAGGAAGGAGAUGGUGAAACAGGCCAGAGCUCUGAAAGACGAGCGCAGAGCAACGCUCGACAGCCGACACAAGUAUCUCAUCGCCAAGAUCACCAGUACUGUCUCUCUUGGAGAGACGGAGGCGGAGGAGGCGCUUAUUUCUGAUGAGAAGUUCAGCAUGAUCGAGGAUUUCUUCUCAGCCAACGGAUCAAAGAGACUGAUCUUCUACUAUCAAGCAGUGCAGCCGGCCCAUGGAAAUGGACCCUCUUGGACAGAAUCUCAGAGUGUACCCAGUGGACAGAAGAAACUAUUCAUCACUACAGGAACCACUGAGGUAAAAUAUAAAUACAGCUCAUAAAUACAGAAAAAAAUGAAGAGUGC